CUGAGUAAAAUCAGGUGGAGGACCGAACAGGUGUCUGUUGAAAAAGGCUCUGAUGAGCUGUGGGUAGCGGAGAAAUUCCAAACGAACUCGGAGAUAGCUGGUUCUCCCCGAAAUAGCUUUAGGGCUAGCCUCGGAUUAUUCUGAUGGAGGUAAAGCACUGAAUGGGCUAGGGGCCUUACCAGGUUACCGAACCCUAUCAAACUAAGAAUGCCAUAUAGAAGAUGUCCGGGAGUCAGACUGCGAGAGAUAAGUCCCGUAGUCAAAAGGGAAACAGCCCAGACCGCCAGCUAAGGUCCCGAAGUGAUGGUUAAGUGGAAAAGGAUGUGGGUUUGCUAAGACAGCUAGGAUGUUGGCUUAGAAGCAGCCACUCAUUCAAAGAGUGCGUAAUAGCUCACUAGUCGAGUGAGCCUGCGCCGAAGAUGUACGGGGCUAAACCAUCCACCGAAGCUGCGGAAUGUCCGAAAGGACGUUGGUAGGGGAGCGUAGUGCAGUAGAGAGAAGCAUGACGGGAACGACAUGUGGACGAGGCAGUAGUGAGAAUGCCGGAAUGAGUAGCGAGAGUGAAGUGAGAAUCUUUACCGUCGAAAACCCAAGGUUUCCUGGGGAAGGUUCGUCCGCCCAGGGUAAGUCGGGGCCUAAGCCGAGGCCGAGAGGCGUAGGUGAUGGACAACAGGUAGACAUUCCUGUACCAAAGGUAUACGAAUAAGAGACGCGGGGACACAGGAGGAUAAAUGGAUCCGGCAGCAGGGAAAGCCGGAGUAAGGGAGGUAGAUAGGUACGUAGUGAAGUACGCGUACCGAUUCGAAGGCCUGACACGGAGCUCAAAUAGGAGCGAAGCCAAAGAUUCCACACUGGCGAGAAAAGCCGCUAUUGAGUAUACAUUUGCCCGUACCGCAAACCGACACAGGUAGGUGAGGAGAGAAUCCUGAGACGAGCGGGAGAAGUGUUGUUAAGGAACUCGGCAAAUUAACCCCGUAAGUUAGCGAGAAGGGGAGCCUAGAGAUAGGCCGCAGAGAAAUGGCCCAAGCAACUGUUUACCAAAAACACAGGUCUCUGCUAAAUCGAAAGAUGAAGUAUAGGGGCUGACGCCUGCCCGGUGCUGGAAGGUUACGGGAAUCUGUAAGCGCAAGCGAAGCAGUGAACUUAAGCCCCAGUAAACGGCGGCCGUAACUAUAACGGUCCUAAGGUAGCGAAAUUCCUUGUCAGGUAAGUUCUGACCUGCACGAAUGGCGUAAUGAUUUGGGCACUGUCUCAACAGCACACCCGGUGAAAUUGUAGUACUUGUAAAGAUGCAAGUUACCCGCGAUUAGACGGAAAGACCCCAUGGAGCUUCACUGCAGGCUGAUAUUGGGUUUCGGUAUUUUCUGUACAGGAUAGGUGGGAGACGAGGAAGUAGUCACGCCAGUGACUAUGGAGUCGACGUUGGGAUACCACUCUGAGAAUACUGGAGCUCUAACCCGGUGCCAUGAAACUGGUACGGGGACACUGUCAGUCGGGCAGUUUGACUGGGGCGGUCGCCUCCUAAAGAGUAACGGAGGCGCCCAAAGGUUCCCUCAGCGCAGUUGGAAAUUGCGUGAUAGAGUGCAAAGGCAGAAGGUAGCCUAACUGAGAGGCUGACAAGCCGAACAGGUACGAAAGUAGGGCUUAGUGAUCCGGCGGUA
rnacentral:rRNA from 1 species